AGUGGGGAAUAUUGGACAAUGGGCGAAAGCCUGAUCCAGCCAUGCCGCGUGUGUGAAGAAGGUCUUCGGAUUGUAAAGCACUUUAAGUUGGGAGGAAGGGUUGUAGAUUAAUACUCUGCAAUUUUGACGUUACCGACAGAAUAAGCACCGGCUAACUCUGUGCCAGCAGCCGCGGUAAUACAGAGGGUGCAAGCGUUAAUCGGAAUUACUGGGCGUAAAGCGCGCGUAGGUGGUUUGUUAAGUUGGAUGUGAAAGCCCCGGGCUCAACCUGGGAACUGCAUCCAAAACUGGCAAGCUAGAGUACGGUAGAGGGUGGUGGAAUUUCCUGUGUAGCGGUGAAAUGCGUAGAUAUAGGAAGGAACACCAGUGGCGAAGGCGACCACCUGGACUGAUACUGACACUGAGGUGCGAAAGCGUGGGGAGCAAA
rnacentral:rRNA from 1 species